rnacentral:rRNA from 1 species
GAUGAACGCUAGCGGCAGGCCUAAUACAUGCAAGUCGAACGGUGUCUUCGGACAUAGUGGCGCACGGGUGCGUAACACGUAUGCAACCUACCUUACAUUGGGGGAUAGCCUUUCGAAAGGGAGAUUAAUACCGCAUAAGACAGUAACUAGGCAUCUAGUAGCUGUUAAAGAUUUAUCGAUGUAAGCUGGGCAUGCGUCCAAUUAGUUAGUUGGCGAGGUAGUGGCUCACCAAGACGACGAUUGGUAGGGGAACUGAGAGGUCAAUCCCCCACACUGGCACUGAGAUACGGGCCAGACUCCGACGGGAGGCAGCAGUAGGGAAUAUUGGGCAAUGGGCGCAAGCCUGACCCAGCCAUGCCGCGUGCAGGAAGAAGGCGUUCUGCGUUGUAAACUGCUUUUAUAUAGGAAGAAACGACCCUUGCGAGGGGCAUUGACGGUACUAUAUGAAUAAGCACCGGCUAACUCCGUGCCAGCCGCCGCAGUAAAAC